UGAGGGAAUAUUUGGGGUCAAUGGGCGAGAGCCUGAACCAGCCAAGUAGCGUGCAGGAUGACGGCCCUAUGGGUUGUAAACUGCUUUUAUAAGGGAAUAAAGUGGGUCUCGUGAGACUUUUUGCAUGUACCUUAUGAAUAAGGACCGGCUAAUUCCGUGCCAGCAGCCGCGGUAAUACGGAAGGUCCGGGCGUUAUCCGGAUUUAUUGGGUUUAAAGGGAGCGUAGGCCGGAGAUUAAGCGUGUUGUGAAAUGUAGUGGCUCAACCUCUGCACUGCAGCGCGAACUGGUCUUCUUGAGUACGCACAAC
rnacentral:rRNA from 1 species